CUAAGCUUUAUUUUGUAAGGUUCAAAUCAUAUUUUAUAAACCCAUUUUAAAAGAAAAUAUUUUAUAUAAAAGAAAAUAAAAAGAAAAAAUAUUUUAUAUUAAAGAAAUUAUUUUUGAUAAUUAAAAUAUCAAGCAAGAGAAAAUAACUUUAAUUAUUUAUAAGACUACUUUUAGCUAACAGUGCCAGUUAAUGAAUGUGUGAUAUAACAGAAUAUUUAUAUUUGUUUUUAUACAAAAAAAUCAUGAUGAAUAUUUCAGUAUAAUUUUCACUUUUUUCCACCAUGAACUUGUUUUGUCAGACUCUGGAUAAUUUGUUCGCUUAUACAACAUAUAGCAGAAAGGAGACCUGGAUUCUUUGCACUUAAAUUUAUUUUUUAUUUUCUUAACAGUCUGCUUUGAUACAGAGAUAAAUGUAUAUUUAUAAUUAAAUAGUGCCAAUCUUAUCAUUUUCUAAUAAAGUGUAUUCAUUA
rnacentral:lncRNA from 1 species